UAGAGUUUCUAAAUUAGCAACUUGCAACCUAUCCCCUCUCGUCGCCCCUUCACAGAAUUGGAUCAAAAUUAAUGGUAAACUAGCUUAAAAAAAGUUUGGCUUAUUUAUAUGAAGUCAAGCUGGUUAAUACAUAUAAUGAUGGUGAAGAAGGUAAAUGGCAAGGUCAUCUCUUUAUUUUGUGUGUCUAAAAUAUGAGGUUGUUGAGUGGAGUUUUUGAAGAGACAACAAAUUUGAAUUCCUACUAACAUAUAAUUCUACAUCAAGCCACUACCCAUAUUCAUUUCACACCCUUUUUCUCAAAAUGAAAAUUAUAGAGUUCUUAAAUUAGCAACUUGCAACCUAUCCCCUCUCGUCGCCCCUCCCCACCCCACAAUGGGAAUAAAAAAACAAGCAGCCUCAAUCGGAAGAUCCGGACAUCACAUUUGUCAUCAGUUUAACUGAACUAAAGUAGUAACAAUUUAGUCAAUGCAAAGAAAAUACAUACGUGCCAUUGAUUCAUCAGUCCCCAUCACCCCUUCUUUCAACAUAAACUUCACAACAAUGGUUAACAAGAACAAGAAAUCUCACAUACUUUUACAUAUUUUUGGAGAGGAGAAACAAGAAGAGCAACAUUUGCAAUUUUUAAAAGUACUAUGAAACAUACCUUAAUCGAUGCAAUCAACGAGUCAUUAUCGACCUUUUGCAGUGAAUAGGACAGAUAUGGAAGCAGCGAUUCGUUUGGGUAUUUGAUUUUUUCUUCCCUCUUUCUGAUUCGAUUGUAUGAGUAUUUGAUUUCUU
rnacentral:lncRNA from 1 species